rnacentral:misc_RNA from 1 species
GUGCUUGGUUUUCUAUCAGAUGUAAAAUGGACGGGCGGUCGAGUCGUUGCGCGUUCGCUUGCUCCGCAUGUUCGUAAUAAAGUCGAUGUUUAUUUUGACGUGAAUACGAAUAUUGUUUACGCGAUUGUUCGACUUCUUCGGUUUUCGUUUACCGGAGGAGAUUGUGUUGUGUUUGUGUUUUUUCUAUGACUCUAACGUUCGCUUCACUUGCAGUGAUUUUGCUGAUAGCUCACUUACCGGUGGGUGCGCGCGUGAUAAACUGCGUGUUCGGUAUUAAAAAAAUAAGGCGAAUAGUCGUCUAGUGUGGGUGUUUCACAGUACCACGAUGCUGUGCACGGUGACAUAGUGAACGUUGAAUUUGACCCUGACCUCUGACAACCAUGUCUGGUCGAUCGGAUUGCAGAAAAUUUGCACCAAAUAUCUUUAAUAAGAGCAAGUGCACUAAUUGCUUCCGACAGAAGGAGGAGCAUAGUGCCGAGGCUUUGGAAUCUAAUCGGGUAAGUUAUAUGGCUCUUUCUUCGAGUUUAGCGAUUUAAAAGUUGGUUAUUCCGAAAGCCAGCAGAAAGAUAUCAAAAUGCGGUUAUCUGUUCGUGGCGCCGGGCUGGGACUUUUCCAAUCCGCUCUACAGGACAAAGGUAAGAAAAAUAAUUAGCAUAUUUAUAUAUUGCAUACACAGUAGUAUUGUAUUUAAAAAAAAACUUUCUUUCUCGGUCUUUGCAAAAAUUAUUUUAAACUAAAAUCGUUAUGAAUAAAACAAUUUUAUACGUUAAAAUUGAACAGGAAACAAUACAGCAAAAAAUAAGAAAAUUAGCCAAGCUAUUAUGUAAUUUAAAGCCAUGGUUCAAAAAAAGGCAGACAUCAUUAUAUGA